UUUUUUUUUUCUUUUUUUCCUUUUUUUUUUUCUUUUAAAAUUUUCCAUUUUAAGUUGGUUAUUUCUGAUUUAUAUUUAAAAGCAAAUAAUAAUGAUAUGGUAGGAGAUACACACCAAACAGGAUGUGUAAAUUAUUAUAUAAUAAGUAUUGUGCAAUAGCAAGAAAUUUUCAAUUGCACAGUAUUGCACAAUAGCAAGAAAUCUUCAAUUGCACAGUAUUGCGCAAUAGCAAGAAAUCUUCAAUUGCACAGUAUUGCGCAAUAGCAAGAAAUAUCCAAUAGCACAAUAUUGCGCAAUAGCAAGAAAUUGUCAAUUGUACAGUAUUGCGCAAUAGCAAGAAAUAAUCAAUUGCACAGUAUUGUGCAAAAGAAGAUACUUCGUAUAAAUUGCUUAUUUCUUGAUCAAUUUCAAUGGGGUUUUAUUCUUGAAUUCUUGGGGUUCUUUAAUAUGCUGAAUCUAACCGUGUAUUAAGUUUUUAGAUUUUGGGCCCCGUUUUUAAAUUGGUCCACAUUGAGGUCCAAAGGGUCCAAAAUUUUACUUUGUUUGAUUUCAUCAAAAAUUGAAUUAUUGGGGUUCUUUGAUAUGCCGAAUCUAACCGUGUAUUUAGAUUCUUAAUUUUUGGUUCUGUUUUCAAAUUGGUCUACAUAAAGGUCCAAAGGGUCCAAAAUUAAACUUAGUUUGAUUUUAACAAAAAUUGAAUUUUUUAGGGUUCUUUGAUAUGCUGAAUCUAAACAUGUAUUUAGAUUUUUGAUUAUGGGCCCAGUUUUCAAGUUGGUCCAAAUCGGGGUCCAAAAUUAAACUUUGUUUGAUUUCAACAAAAAUUGAAUAUAUGGGGUUCUUUGAUAUGCUGAAUCUAACCAUGUAUUUAGAUUUUUGAUUUUUGGGCCCUGUUAUCAUUUUUGUCCACAUUGAGAUCAAAAGGGUCCAAAAUUAAACUUUGUUUGAUUUCAUCAAAAAUUGAAUUCUUGGGGUUCUUUGAUAUGCUGAAUCUAACCAUGUAUUUAGAUUUUGGAUAUUGGACCAUAAUAGGUGAAUGUCCAAUUUAAAAUUUUUAAGUUCUUAGACCACAUUCAUUCUGUGUCAGAAACCUAUGCUGUGUCAAAUAUUUAAUCACAAUCCAAAUUCAGAGCUGUAUCAAGCUUGAAUGUUGUGUCCAUACUUGCCCCAACUGUUCAGGGUUCGACCUCUGCGGUCGUAUCAAGCUGCGCCCUGCGGAGCAUUUUAUUAGUUUCUGUUCUCUACUUAAGUUAGCCUCAACCAAAUGUUAUGAGACUUACACACAAUGCUUAUUACCACAAAACUCAGAUCAAGUUCAAAUUUGGGUAGCGUCACUUUUACCGUUCUUCAGUUAUGUCCCUUUAUAACUAUGUGAUAUGCAAGCGGGGGCUUUAUCUGUGUCCACAUGUGGACACUAUCCUUAUUUAUUUGUAUACAGUUUAUACGGAUGAUAGUAGAGCUAUAAAGCAUUCCACAUAUUGUAUAGAGAUGGCUUACGGUGUAGAGUUUCCAUUUCACAUAUAUGUCAGCUGUCCUUGGCCUCAUUUACAUGGUUUAAUGACAUACCAAAUCAGUAUUAAUUUUCUUGAUUAAAUCAUUUAAUCAAUUACAUUUGAGUUAUAGGUCAGCUAUGUGUGAUCUGUAAAAAUCAACAAAAUUUCAUAAUAUUUCAAUGCAAUGAGUCUGUUUAGUUUUCGUGUUACAUGGAUUAUUUCAUCAAAAAAUGAAUCUGAUGAUAGGAUGUCCAAACUGUAAAGAAGAAAAGGCAGAUGAAAUCUCACAACACAAAAGCAAGGAUUUGACCAAGAGAAACGUAAAUGUUUUGCAAAUGAAUUGUAAGGGGUUGGAUUUUUACAAAACAUCUGGCCUAAUGUCUAGCAAAUAUUGUGCAUUGUUCCCAAAUCAGAGUGAUAAGGAAAGUCCUCUAGUUAAUUUCUUUUUUUUUUUAUUCACAAAAGUUACAUUUUGUGCUGAAGAACUGAAGUAUAAGAAUUCAUAAACAUAAAACAUUAUGCAUCAUAGAAAAAAGUAAAAUAACAAAAAUACUGAACUCCAAGGGAAAUUCAAAACGGAAAGUCCUUUAUAAAAUGGCAAAAUCAAAAGCUCAAAAACAUCUAACGAAUGGAAAACAACUGUCAUAUUCCUGACUUGGUACAGGCAUUUCCUUAUGAUGAAAAUGGUGAAUUAAACCUGGUUUAAUACAGAUAACACAGGUAAAAAAAAUUAAUGAAAAUAAAAUUAUGAAAAAAGUUGCUUGCAUAUAUCUAGUUGCGAAAAACAAAACAAAUUAAGACAAGUGGAUGAAAUAUGUCUAGCUUGCUUGUUUUUUUUUUUUUUUUUUUUUUUUUAAA